rnacentral:rRNA from 1 species
UUCUUGGAGAGUUUGAUCCUGGCUCAGGACGAACGCUGGCGGCGUGCCUAAUACAUGCAAGUCGAGCGAAUCUUUGGGAGC